UCGUGGAGUAUAGGAGAAUCCCGUAUAUCGUCUGUUUCACUUCUGAUUCUCCAUUACUCCUUUGACGG
rnacentral:pre_miRNA from 1 species